rnacentral:rRNA from 1 species
AACGAACGCUGGCGGCAUGCCUAACACAUGCAAGUCGAACGAGACCUUCGGGUCUAGUGGCGCACGGGUGCGUAACGCGUGGGAACCUGCCCUUAGGUUCGGAAUAACUCCCCGAAAUGGGUGCUAAUACCGGAUAAUGUCUUCGGACCAAAGAUUUAUCGCCUUUGGAUGGGCCCGCGUUGGAUUAGCUUGUUGGUAGGGUAAAAGCCUACCAAGGCGACGAUCCAUAGCUGGUCUGAGAGAAUGAGCAGCCACACUGAGACUGAGACACGGCCCAGACUACUACGGGAGGCAGCAGAGGGGAAUAUAGGACAAUGGGAGAAAGGCUGAACCAGCAAUGGCGCGUGAGUGAUGAAGGCCUUAGGGAUGUAAAGCUCUUUUACCCGGGAUGAUAAUGACAGUACCGAGAGAAUAAGCUCCGGCUAACUCCGUG